AGCAGUGGUGAGUUAUCUCAGCAGAAAUCAGAAGUUGGAAACAGAGAAAAUCUUUUUGAGCAGGCUGGAAGAGUCGUGGUUCUGUGGUUUUCUAAGCAACCAUUGAAGCCUGCUGUUUCAAGAACUUAGUUUCAACAACAAGUGGGUGUUGCAAAGAAAGCAAUAUACAUUAUAGAUGAGCUUGGAGUGACAAAUCCAUCCAUAGAAUUCCUUUACCCAUAUGUGAAAAAUGAAAGCUACAGAAGUCCCCAUUGCCUCAGUGAAGUCUAUCAUCCAUCCGUCCACCCAUCCAUCUUCUACUUAUUUCUACUUUACAUUCAUCUAUCAAUGACCAAGGAAAGAACAGAAAGUUCUUGAACAAGACGUAAGAUAAGCUCUGGGCAGUGCCACUUCUAGAAACAGGAAGUAUCAAUAACAUUUUCAGCAUUCUCCCCAAUCCUCACACUGACAGAGAAACAAUUGAAUAGACUGAAUUGGUUUUUUCCCUUUUCAGAUCAUGGAGCUGAAAGCUCUGCUGGCAGGAAGCACAGGGCAUCAGAGAGCUUACUUUGUGGGCUGACUCCCCUGCAUGGAAGCAAAGGCCUUGAGCUACACUGCAGGGCAAGUGAAGCCCUGAGGUGUCCCCUGUGGAGAAGGAGGCACCGUCUGCUGGAUUAGGGCUUUAACCAAAUCUAAAAAAUCUCAGAGGGAACAUUUUAAAACAAAAGCAGCACUUUGCCUCACCUCAACUCCCCCAACACCAUCCUUGGCAUUCUUUCAGGAUUUAAAAAAGUCAUAGUUCUCAUAGGAAAAAGUCUCAGAUACAAUGGGAAGAACAUUGAAAUGUCAAUCAAGCCCUAUUAGACCAAGUAGAAUGAGCAGCAUGAAAAGAAAUGUCAUGGUUACAGUGAAAAUAUUUUUUUGGCAAGAAAGGAAGUAAGACAAACCAGUAAGUCCAUCCUAGGGGAAAAAGAAACUUAAUUCCUGGAAGAGGGGAAAUUCAGCAUAAUUGCUUCAUGACAUGGAGUAAAAAGUAAUUUUUAAGUUUUAGCUGUUAUAAUUUUUGGAAUAUGCAAGCAGUCAAACUUAGAAAAUAUUCAAAGGCAAUACAAAACAAAACCCCAAACAAACAAACAAACAAACAAAAAAACCAAACAGAAGAGAGGAAGGGUUCAGAUCUCAGGAAACAAAAUGAAAUCCAAUCCAAUAAACACUUAAUACAUGAGUUAGAAAUAGCAAACACUAGAAUAAAAAUGGCUAGGAACUGAAUUUCUGACAGUGCAGGGAUAAUAUAAAAUAACAGUGAAUAAACUUAAAAAUAAGAAAAUAAUAACAGAUAUGGGAGACAACUUAUCCAACUAUUGAAAGCCAGCACUUUUGAGUAGAGAGCACAACAGAUAGAACAAAAGUUAUUUAUGCAAAGGAAUGUUUCCAAAAGAAAUAGAGAGGAACCUCCCAGUUUAGAAGGCAUGGGUUCCUCCAGCCUGUAAAAUACUAGGAUGCUUCUUACUGAGAGCUUUUGGGUUCAAGGAGAAAAAAAAAAAGACACUUUGUAUGGAGAAGUAAAAUCAUAUUAAAGAAAAAAUCAGGCUGGACUUAGAAUCCCAGUACCAUCCAACAAGCAACGCUACAGCCAAUGGGGUAUGAUCUAUCAAUCUCUGAGAAGGAAGAGUGACCCAAGGCCACAUCCUCCUGAGGAAACCCCUCAGGUACAAAGGUGACAGUUGGAUAUCUUCAAACUCAAAGCAAUGUAGAUGGAAUGUCUACAAAAAGGAUGCUCGAAUGUAAGGUCUACUCAAUGAAGGCAUUAAGCAAAAUAAACAGAAAUGAUACUAAGA